UACGAAGGGGGCUAGCGUUGUUCGGAAUUACUGGGCGUAAAGGGCGCGUAGGCUGUGCUGUAAGUCAGGCGCGAAAUCCCCGGGCUCAACCUGGGAAUUGCGUUUGAUACUGCGGCGCUGGAAUGCAGGAGAGGAUGGCGGAAUUCCCAGUGUAGAGGUGAAAUUCGUAGAUAUUGGGAAGAACACCGGUGGCGAAGGCGGCCAUCUGGCCUGUAAUUGACGCUGAGGCGCGAAAGCGUGGGGAGCAAACAGG
rnacentral:rRNA from 1 species